UACAGAGGGUGCAAGCGUUACUCGGAGUUACUGGGCGUAAAGGGUGCGUAGGCGGUGAUGUAAGUGAGGUGUGAAAUCCCUGGGCUUAACCUAGGAAUUGCACUUCAAACUAUAUUGCUAGAGUACAGUAGAGGGUGGUGGAAUUUCCGGUGUAGCGGUGAAAUGCGUUGAUAUCGAUAGGAACUCCGGUGGCGAAGGCGGCAUACUGGACCACUUCUGACGCUGAGGCGCGAAAGCCAGGGGAGCAAACGGG
rnacentral:rRNA from 1 species